rnacentral:misc_RNA from 1 species
UUCCUCGGAAAGGACGUUUUGGAAUGUAGCCUUGCACUAGUGCGCACUAAGGCUUGUUUACAUACUUUACAUUAGUUUUCUUAUAUUUAAGAAUACAUGUUCAAAAACUAUUUAACCAAAAAAAUAAUUCUAUGGAUGUUGUACAGAUCAUUUUACUGGUUAAGAAGUAUUUGAAGAAGAAUUUAAGAUGAUUCUUAAAUAUAAAAAUUGGCUAUAAACAAGCCUUAAUAUACACUCAGUGCGCACUAGUGCAAGCAACCGAAUUCGCUAUUACUAGAAGUUUCUAGUAAUGUCUUUGGUAGCUUUGCAAGUAACACAAAUCGACACAGCAGUAUUUUUGUUUUUGUUUAAUAUUCAGUGAGAGAUAAAAACAGAAUUACUGCUGUAUCGAUUUGUUCUCUCGCUGGAAAAAGCAAAGAGGAGAACCUAAGAGCGGCCACCGCGGGGCUUUUUUCGUACGACCGAUAUUUGACUAGUGUAAUUCGCUCCAUGGGACCGUACAGUGUACAUCCUGACUUUGGCGCUUUUUAAUAGUAAAUGGUUGGCAAUACUGUGUGCAACAUUGGCCACAGGUUUCCGAAAGUUAUACGGAGUUUAUCAUUUUUUAUCCAUUUAGGUUCUUUAUUUAUUAUCAACUAAAGUAGUGGGACAGGAUCUGUUUCAAAUAUUGAAUAUAUUAUAAAAAAAACUAUCAGAGAAAAUGGGAAAGAACAAGAGGAUUUAUAAAGACAAAAAUGUUUUUAAAGUUACAACAACUCGCAGUAUUAAGUUAAAAACAAAAGCGCAAAAAAAA